CAAACCUGUUGGACAACACAGGACAGAGAGAAAAGAUCUUGUCAGCUGCACAGUUGGAACAAAGGGGGAAAGGUCGCAGAAUAAUUAACAGAACGGAGUCUCUCUGUCUCAAGAGCGCUUGGGUUGAGUCCCAAGGCCCGGCCAGGUUUGUAAGUACUUAAGUGUGGAGUCACAUGAACUUUUUACUUAGAGGUAAAGUGAGGGGAACCCCCUUUCCAUGUGUUUCAGGGGACGAUAGGUCUGAGGCUGUAUUACUUUCAGGUUGGCUCAAAAGUGGCCCUGGGGGGUGGGGGGUGGGGUGGUAUGCAAGGAGGCCUGGAAGCAUGACAAGUCUCAAUGCAUUUAGCUGGAGACUCAGAGCUUUGAAAUGGGAGUGUUCCAGAGCUGACCUUGUCCCUCCCCAGAGCUGCCAAAUGAUGAAGGUCUUGAAACUUUUUCCAGGAAGAGACAUUUACUCAGCCUCUGGGAAGUGGCAGGCUAGCCUCUGGCAAAGGCAAGGCCAGGGUAACACACAAAGUCCUUUCCUUCCUAUCUGUCUUGCAGAUGGACUCAAAGUGGGCCACACAGUGGCUCAGGCUGGGACUCUAAGAGGCAGGUCGUCUGUAUGUUUAUUUAACUUUGGUGCUGUGGGCAAUUCUGAUACAUCCUUCAAGUGAUUAGGACAAUUGUUCUCAAAGUGUGAUCAUGGGACCCAGAGAGUUCCCAAGACCUUUGCAUGUUAUCUACAGCAAAGACUCUUUGAUAACAAUAGUAACAUUUUUUUCUUUUACUCUUAUUCUUUCAUGAGCACAUACAGAAUGUUCUAGAAGUUACAGACCUGUGCUAUCACAACACUCGGAAUACAGAAACAGAGAUGUGAAUCCAGGCAUCUUCUAUUAACCUGGAUAUUGAAGAGCUCAGCCUUGAAGCAACCAAGGCCACAGCACCGUGGAAACCCCCUUACCAGGAGCCCACAAGGAGGCUCCCGGCACGUGUACAGCUGGGCGGCAGGUUACAGAGAGCACUUGGCAGCUAACCAACAGUGACCCUGACGCUGCAAGCUACCUGCUCCAGGACACUCAGUAAAUCGAUCAGCUUGACUGCACUUCCAUUAGCCUAUGGAGAAGGCACUUUCCAUCCACACUCAGAAUUAAGACUGGCUUUCAAAAAGACGGAGGAAACCAACUCCUUCCCACCCAACACUGAGAUCCUUGGCCCAGGCAAGUUAUCAGCAGAUUGAAGAUAGGAAAAAAAAUCUGCAGAUCUCAGGGAGACAGAUUUAUGGCUAGGAAGAGGAGGGAGGGGCAGGUGGAACGAUACUUUGCAUGUGUCUGGGAAGAAAGCGCUGCUUUCACAGGCUGCUCAGCGACACUUGCUCUUGACUCUCUGCCCAACUCCCAGCUGUGGGUGGGUCCAAGGCUGCUGAGAGGGGAGGGAUGUGUAGGAUUUGUUUCGUUGUCAGUUCUGGCAAUUUGACUCAACAAAGAAAGAAUAUAUAUGUUAAUGAUUAGGAAGAAGAGAAGGAUGGGAAGAGAGGAAGGGAGAGAGGGGGAGAUGGGAGGGAGACAGAGAGAGCUCCUUAUGAUAUUAUUAGCCUCUGUGUGCCAAUGUGUCAUGAGAACCAUUUAACUAUGACCAGCGUUCAUCACGGUGAGAAUUUUGUAUGGAGGAACUGAAUUGCUAUGAAUGAGAAAAUCACUAAGACCCCCACUCCCUUCUUUCCUCAGAGGCGAGAUCAAGUUCAUGGGCUCACACAUAACCUUCAGUGAUACAUCCAGACUCUUAAAUUCUCAUAAUUUCUUCAAUUCCACGUUCAAAUUGGCCACCACAUUCAUCAGGUCAUCCUAACCUCAUGCCCAACUUUCUGAGUUAUGCAUAAACUAAUGAGAAAGCUGACCAGGAGUCAGGGGCCGGGAUUUCCUUCCUACAUAAGCUGCUAAUGAGCGUGGGAUUCUAGGCAACCCACUUCAUUUCUCUGUUGCUCAAUGGCUCCAUCUGUAAAAUAUGGGGCUGAAGAGUAUGUGAUCAACAAGUUCCUGCAUGGCUUAACAUAGCCAGCACGCACUACUGAAUUUGAACCUCAACUACCAAACAAUACAGACAGCCAGGAUGCUAUUUCUUUUGCUAUAAAACUACUCCACACUCGUGAUCAAGAUCUUAAGAUUCUGUAGCUUUUCGAAGGCUCUUCUGAGUCAUGGAAGGGAGAUUAGUGUUAUGUUCUAAUUCUUUGCAAAGUUGUCAGCCAGCCAUGGCAAUGCUAAACCUAACAGCUUGCCCCUUUAAAAAAGCCCUUAACUGCUUUUUGUGUGUCUCCUAACUCACAGGAGCCCUGCAGUUGGCUGGGUUCUCAUUUCAGUUUAAUUGAAAUUGAAUGAUCUGAGUUGGUAGACAUUGUUUGAGCAUUAUUAUGCUCAAGUUCCUUUAAUUUGUGCGUGUGUGUGUGUGUGUGUGUGUGUGUGUGUGUGUGUGGUGUUUGCACUGGAACUCAUACAAAUUCAAGUGUUCUAUUACUGAGCCAAACCCUAACUCCCAACUCAAGGCUUCUCAACACUUUAGCCAUUGGUGAAAAUAUCCUUCCAUGUUAAACUCUUCAUAUUUACAAGAACUUGCUCUGGACCCCAUGCACUGGAAGGCAGAGUCCAGAAUGUGAGAGGCAGACGCCACAGCAAUGCUCUGAUUCAACCCUGGUCCCCAUAACUUAUUAGGAAACCAAGGCCUGGAAAAGCUAAGCCAUACCACGCCUGGUCAACCUACACCAGAGAUCCAUGUGACCUCAUCUCCUGACUCAAUGACAGCAACUUUAUGACCCUUGACCCAGUCAUGUCUAGUGACUAGUUCCUUGAUUGCUUGGCUAUCCUGCCUUAAAACAAGCAGCCCGUAUCUACAGUUUGCAGAUCUCUCCGCAUCUCUGUCCCGUACUAUCUGUACUAUCUGACAACACAGGAGCAUGACUCAAGUUUUCCCCUGCCAGGGCAAUGAGGCGGACAGGCAGUGAACACUUAAAUCAAACCAAAUCACAAUGAUGACUAUGGCUCUUGCUCUAACAGGUGAGAUCAUUCCGGCCCACAGAACUGGAAGAGGUAAUGCUUGUGCUGUUGGCUCCUUCAUCCACUUAGGGAUUCCACAUCUGCAAUACUAAUUCUCAAAUAGAUUAAUAAUAGCAGCAAACACAAGCACUUACUGCAGGUCAGGAGACGCUGUAUAUAUGCCAUCCCCAUAAUUCUCUUAACCCCCUAAGACAAUAAUGAGCAGUGCAGCACAGAGAAGUUCAGUGACUGGAUAAAGUCACAUAGUCAGAAAAUGGAACCAAGUGGUCUGAUCUGAUACAACCAAAGCUCACAAUUAUUAUACACACCUGCCUCUCUCUAUGCGACCGUUUCGUACUUUGGUAGAAGAGAAAGGUACAUUAACAAUUUAAUAAAACUUGCAUGGUGAUGUUGUAGCUCUCAGCACCAGUGUGGAACUUGUAUUUUCUACCUGUGUGACCUUGUGCAAGUUACUUAGCCUCUCUGUCUCUAUUUGGCCUGACUGAAAAACAUGGAAAAUUUUCCAGCUGCAAAGCACCAGAGUCACAUAUGGCAUGUUUAUAACUUUUUUAGCAACAUGAAAAACCAAUGCUUGGUACUGAGAAAGCAUUUCCUAAGAACUCGCCCCUGUGUUCUAUGCUGACAUUAAUGGUGACACCUUUGCUUGCACAUAGAAACCUGGUAUUAGGAAUAAUCCCACUGUAAGAAUGUCAAUUUCAUCACUCUUGCGUGCUGCACGCCACCCAGAUAAGGAUCUCUUUCUACUAUCAUCCCUAUUACAAAGCUUUGAUGGGCAUCCAUCAUCCCAUGGGUCAGUGAAAGCGCCAACCAGGUGAGGCCUGAGAAGCUAGCAUCUGGUGACACACUAGGCCCCCUCCAAUUAAUUUCUUAGCUAUUAACCCAUCUACACACUCAUCAAUAAGAUGGAAUGCUUUUCCAAAGCUCAGAAAUAUAGCGAGUAUAAAACUUUCAGCAACUUUACUGAGGACUGGUGUCUGGCCCCAUGGGGAUAACUUGCUCCUGAGUGUUCACACAGGUCUGACAGUCUGUCCUGAACGGUACUCAGGGUCCCAACCAGCCUCACUGUUUUGGUUUGUGUACACACUUUUCCUCCCCAUCUACUCCUCAUGUCAGAUCAGCUCGGCUUGUGUCUCUUCCUCUUCCCACUGCUUCAAGGAAAACUGUUGGGAUAACUGAUCUUUCUGUAGAGUUCUCUGGCUUGACAUGAGUCUGCUCUGCAUAGAACUCUGCUUUGCUCUCCCAACGAGCCUACCCAUCUUGAAUGCUCUGAAUGAUGGUCAUCCCCCUGGAUGGAUGAGAGGGAAGGGUCAGGGGUCAAUAGUACUGUUUUCUCUUUGCCUGUGUUGCUGUUACCAUGUAAGUCGUAGCAGGCCAGUAACAGGUUUUUCCCAAAGUCCCCAACUUUGUCCAUUGCUGUCUGAAGUUACCUGCCGCUCACCUUGUCUUAAUAUUUUAUACCUAUGUCAUUUCUUCUUGAUUGUUUUUCUUUUCAGAGACUUGUUUUAUUACCCACUACACGGCUUUUUAAAAGUCGGAGCUCAUUAGACCUAUACAAGAUUGCGGAGGAGAAGCUGGCAUACCAUGCUGGCACACAACUCGGUGAUAUUUUAAGAGCUUGAUGAAUGUCAACUUCUGAGAAUCUACCUUAGAGAAAUGGCUAUGAAUGCAGAAAAAUUCAUGCACAAAGAUGUUAGUUUUUUUAAUAUCAAGUGUUAUUUUUAAUAGUAGAAAACAGAACAUUAAAAAGAGAGCAGUCAUUUACUGACAACAUUUGUGAUAAAGUGAUGCAAUUGAUAACAGUAUUCAGAAAGAAUACACAUUCAUACGGAAAACUAGAAUAGUGUAUAUACUCACAGACUCUCAAAUAAUGCACAGAUGUUUUAUAGAAAUAUUAAUAGCAACUGUCACUUAGUAGUAGAAUUAUAGGUGACAUUUACUGUCUCUUUUACUUUUUGUAUUAAGUAUUAUUCUCUGAAUAGGGCACAGUCCUACUAAAUUGCUCAGGCUGGUUUUGAACUCCAAAUCUUCCUGCUACAGCCUCCCGAGCAGCUAGGAUUACAGGCGUGCACCAGCAUGCUCCAGUGGCGUUAUUACAUCUACAUAAGAUGUAAUGUUCUGUAGAAGUUUAGAAGCUGGUUGAGGUGGUUCAGUCCUGGAUCCUAGUAUGCAGGAGGUGAAGACAGAAGAAUGAGAAGUUCAUGGCUAGCCUGAGCUUUAUUCGAUACAAAAAGAGAAAAGGAAAGGAAAGAAAAGAAAGAAAAUAAAAAAGAAAAGUUGCGCUCAGUAGGGACCAUUCCCUCUACAGCUGUAUCUGAUGAUUUGGGUUUUGUUUUCCCAUCCUUUUAGCAUCUGUUAGCCAUGUGCAACUACUAAGUCAGAGUCUCAGUUUUGAGUGCACUCCAGUUUUCCUGAGCUGUGUUGUAGCAUUUUGAUUCAGGGGGUUCUAGGGAGUUUCUCUCUGAAGUUUAAAAGUUUCUAGUUACAUCAAGAAAAUACCUCUAGUUUGUCUUAUAUCCGUGAUUCUAAGUUCAUGCUUCCAUCCCCAGCAGAAGUCCCCAUCACUUCUACUUUGCCAGCCAAUUUCUGUCAGACUUGCAUCAAAGGACAGAGCCUCCCUCGGUCUCUUCUACCUUUGGAAAGAUAAAACUUCCAACUAUCCGGUACAUGUGCUAAGAGUAAAAUGUACAUACAUGUAAUGGUGUGUGUGUGUGUGUGUGUGUGUGUGUAUGUGACACUUCUCAGCGGUGUUUACAUAGCACUCAGAACACAAGAGGUCCACCUUCACUAAGGCCCUGGCAUACAACUCAAGAUCCUAUUGCUAGAUGACUCACCUCUGGGCUGGCUACCCUAUUGUGUAGCAACUUCUGAAAUAAAACAUUCUUUCCAGAAAUGAGGGGGGAGGCCCAUGAGCCUUAGGAAGUAAACAAUCUCAGGAAGUUCCUGAAAUCAAUAAGGAUCUCAGGUCCCACGCUACAAGUAAACUAAACUACUGGAGAGGAAAAAGACUCUCCGAGCCGCUGAACUGCCUACAAGUCAUAUUCCAAGUUCUAGGGCUGCAGCUUUGGUAAGUUAUCAGUGAAACUGGGCUGGGCUUUUCCAUGAUGGAGAGUCAUCUCUGCUCCUAUAAGUAACUCUUACCCUUUGUGCUGGUUUGUAUUAAAUGUCAGCUUUACAUAAUAUAAAAAUCACCUGAAAAAGAGUCUUCAUAAGGAAUUAUGUAGAUCAGUUUGGUUAGGGAUCAGUUAGGGAGUUGUCUUUUUUUUUUGGUUUUUUGACACAGGGUUUCUCUGUGUAACCCUGGCUGUCCUGGAACUCACUUUGUAAACCAGGCUGGCCUCGAACUUAGAAAUCUGCCUUCCUCUACCUCCCGAGUACUGGGAUUAAAGGUGUGCGCCACCACACCCGACUGGGAGUUGUCUUGAUUGUUGAGGUAGGAAGAUCCAGUCACUACGGGCAGCGCCAUUCCAUAGGCAGAGUCCUAACCAGCAUGAGAGGGGAGAAUGCUUUCCGAGGACAAGCAUGCAAGGGUAUGUUUAUUCUUUCUUUGGGCUUGACGAUAGCUGUGAUGUGGCUGGCUGCUUUUGUUCCUGCUCUGACUUACCCAAAAUGGCAGACUAUAAUUUGGAUUUGUGAGUAAAAUAAACCCUUCCCUCCCCCAUGGGGCUUUUGGUCAGGGUAUGUUAUCACUGCAGUAGAAAUGAAGUUAAGAUAUUCAUAAACAUAUAAUCUCCCCAAACUCAUUUGUUCACCAAAUUAGACUCUGGUAGAAUAUUACAGUCUGUGUAGAGAUGUCCCAAGGUUACAAUGAGCCUAGAACCAAGAGAACUGGAAGCUAUGUCAGCAAAGGGUGGGUGUUGGGGGAGUUGGAGGGGAAUGAAUAUAAUCAAAAUACAUUGUAUGCAUGUGUAAAAUUCUCUAGAAAUUAAUAAAAUUAUAUUUAACAUGUCAUUCUACUUACUAACACAAAUUCAAGUAUGACACACAAUAAUUCCAGUAUUUAGCGAAUACUCUGCGUAUUUUAGGGGUUUUGCAGGACACAGACUUGGCAAUUGAGUGCCCAAGCUUUGACAUGGAUCUAUAGGAGACAACAAUGUAUUCAGCAGCUUUCUGGAGCCCAGGAAGCUAAAGCAACAGUUCUGUAAGCUCUGAGACGCCCUGAAGGAGGGAAGAAAAAGAUGGGCAGGCCCCGGGACAGCAUCUCCCCUGGAGAUACUGAGACUGUCAAGAGCAGGCAGUAGAAGGGCAGAGAAAGGAGGUCCAGGCAACAGAG